rnacentral:snRNA from 1 species
AUCACUUCUUGGCCUGUGGCUAAGAUCAGUGCAGUAUAUUCUCUUGUUAGAAUGUUGAUAUGUCCUGUAGUCGAGGACAGUAUAGUAAUGAUUCUUAGAGUGGGGAGUUAAAAGAGCUUGCUUGGUCCACUCCAUGCAGAGCCCCGGUACUGCUGUACUCCAAACGGCACACCCU